UGCCGGCGACCGGCGGACGGGUGCGUAACGCGUAUGUAACCUACCUUUGACAGGGGGAUAACAUCGAGAAAUUGGUACCAAUACCCCAUAACAUCACCGGAGGCAUCUUCGGUGGUUGAAAACUCAGGUGGUCAGAGAUGGACAUGCGUUGUAUUAGCUAGUUGGUGAGGUAACGGCUCACCAAGGCGACGAUACAUAGGGGGACUGAGAGGUCAACCCCCCACAUUGGUACUGAGACACGGACCAAACUCCUACGGGAGGCAGCAG
rnacentral:rRNA from 1 species